rnacentral:lncRNA from 1 species
CGGAGGGGGAGGGCCGCGAGUCUUCGGAGCCAGCCUCGAGGGUGCUGAACCCCGCGCGCCCGCCUCGCCGCGGCCCCCGGGUGGGGGCGUCCACGGCCCGGGUUCCCGGCGGGCUUGGGGCAGGGACGCAGUCCGGAGAUUCCGGGACUGCCCGGCUGCUGCAGCCCGCAGGCUCCUCUCUCCUCCCCGCUUCCCCUCCGCACUGCCUGGGCUAAAGGAGGCCAAGCUGAGGCUCCGAGAGAAAAGGGAAAAUUGCAACCCUUGCCUACAACCAGACUGACAGCAUAAUUUCUUAGGAAUCAAGAAUCAAUACAGGGUUAUUUCUUUAGAUUAAACCUUAAAAGCCCCCUUGGAGGCUGAAGAAGCAGAGGAUAGCCAUGCAUACACUUGAACGUGAAAAAUGGUCCUCUUUCAUUGGAGAGGUCUCCCUCUUCAGCUAAACCGACAGAGUGGUGAAAAGAAGAAGGGACCCCUUCUUGACCAAAAUAAUCCAGACAAAUCAAAUCGGCCCUUUCCAGCAAGGAGUGGAACAGCCCAAGGGUGGCUAGAUCACAUCUUCUGCUCACACCACCACUGAGCAACCCUCUCCAGGACUGCCACCUAUGCGCAGGUCAUGCCCUGUGCAAGAGCACAUAAAGUGGGAGCUGAAGUCCUGCCCAGGCUCCAUUCACCAAGCAGAGCUUAUGUUGCUGUGUGUCUGUGUCUACCCAGAGGAUGUGGGUCCUUUUUAAAAUGUGCACCAAUGCAUCUUGUAUGAGCUGGCACCAGCUCGGACCAUCCCACCCUCCUACCCUGGUCCUAUCCAGGGUUAUAUUCCCUACUUUAGAAGAAUUAAUUAUUUUUAUGAACGUAUUUAGUUUAUUGUAAAAAAUGAAAUAUAUGACACAAAUUGAAAU